rnacentral:rRNA from 1 species
UCGGAAUCACUGGGCGUCCAGCGCCCGUAGGCGGAUUGCUAAGUCAGGGGUGAAAUCCUGGAGCUCAACUCCAGAACUGCCUUUGAUACUGGUGAUCUUGAGUCCGGGAGAGGUGAGUGGAACUGCGAGUGUAGAGGUGAAAUUCGUAGAUAUUCGCAAGAACACCAGUGGCGAAGGCGGCUCACUGGCCCGGUACUGACGCUGAGGUGCGAAAGCGUGGGGAGCAAACAGG